rnacentral:rRNA from 1 species
ACGCUGGCGGCAGGCUUAACACAUGCAAGUCGAACGGUAACAGGAAUUAGCUUGCUAAUUUGCUGACGAGUGGCGGACGGGUGAGUAAUGCUUGGGAAUCUGGCUUAUGGAGGGGGAUAACUACGGGAAACUGUAGCUAAUACCGCGUAAAAUCUUCGGAUUAAAGGGUGGGACUUUCGAGCCACCUGCCAUAAGAUGAGCCCAAGUGGGAUUAGGUAGUUGGUUAGGUAAAGGCUGACCAAGCCGACGAUCUCUAGCUGGUCUGAGAGGAUGACCAGCCACACUGGAACUGAGACACGGUCCAGACUCCUACGGGAGGCAGCAGUGGGGAAUAUUGCACAAUGGGGGGAACCCUGAUGCAGCCAUGCCGCGUGAAUGAAGAAGGCCUUCGGGUUGUAAAGUUCUUUCGGUGACGAGGAAGGUUGAUAGGUUAAUAGCCUAUCAAAUUGACGUUAAUCACAGAAGAAGCACCGGCUAACUCCGUGCCAGCAGCCGCGGUAAUACGGGGGGUGCGAGCGUUAAUCGGAAUAACUGGGCGUAAAGGGCACGCAGGCGGUGACUUAAGUGAGAUGUGAAAGCCCCGAGCUUAGCUUGGGAAUUGCAUUUCAUACUGGGUCGCUAGAGUACUUUAGGGAGGGGUAGAAUUCCACGUGUAGCGGUGAAAUGCGUAGAGAUGUGGAGGAAUACCGAAGGCGAAGGCAGCCCCUUGGGAAUGUACUGACGCUCAUGUGCGAAAGCGUGGGGAGCAAACAGGAUUAGAUACCCUGGUAGUCCACGCUGUAAACGAUGUCGAUUUGGGGAUUGGGCUUUGAGCUUGGUGCCCGUAGCUAACGUGAUAAAUCGACCGCCUGGGGAGUACGGCCGCAAGGUUAAAACUCAAAUGAAUUGACGGGGGCCCGCACAAGCGGUGGAGCAUGU